CACUCUUAUUCCCUAGUGGUUAAUUGGGAUGGUGUGAGUGGACAGUAGUUUGGGGUUGGUACGAGAGUUGCACCUGCAACACGGUUGGUGUGAGUGGUGAUGCUGAGCUGGGUUUAGGUGUAAAGAUGUUAACUCAGUGUGAGAGGUGAUGCUGAGCUGGGUUUCGGUGUAAAGAUGUUAACUCAGUGUGAGAGGUGAUGCUGAGCUGGGUUUUGGUGUAAAGAUGUUAACUCAGUGUGAGAGGUGAUGCUGAGCUGGGUUUCGGUGUAAAGAUGUUAACUCAGUGUGAGUGGUGAUGCUGAGCUGGGUUUUGGUGUAAAGAUGUUAACACAGUGUGAGAGGUGAU